rnacentral:rRNA from 1 species
GGAAAGUGGCGAACGGGUGAGUAACGCGUAGGCAACCUGCCCCCGAGCGGGGAAUAACCAUCGGAAACGAUGGCUAAUACCGCAUAAUGUCCCGACAGCGCAUGCUGUCGGGAUCAAAGUCUUCGGACACUUGGGGAUGGGCCUGCGUCGGAUUAGGUAGUUGGUGAGGUAACGGCUCACCAAGCCUACGAUCCGUAGCUGGUCUGAGAGGAUGAUCAGCCACACUGGCAUUGAGACACGGGCCAGACUCCUACGGGAGGCAGCAGUGAGGAAUAUUGCGCAAUGGGCGAAAGCCUGACGCAGCCACGCCGCGUGGAGGAUGACACCCCUAUGGGGCGUAAACUCCUUUUGUGCGAGAAGAACCCCCGGCUCGGUCGGGACUGACGGUAUCGCACGAAUAAGCACCGGCUAACUCCGUGCCAGCAGCCGCGGUAAUACGGAGGGUGCAAGCGUUGUCCGGAAUCACUGGGUGUAAAGGGUGUGUAGGCGGGAUGGCAAGUCAGAGGUGAAAUCCUGCAGCUUAACUGUAGAACUGCCUCUGAUACUGCCGUUCUUGAGUUUCGGAGAGGUCACUAGAAUUCGUGGUGUAGCGGUGAAAUGCGUAGAUAUCACGAGGAAUACCAGAGGCGUAGGCGGGUGACUGGACGAAUACUGACGCUGAGGCACGAAAGCGUGGGGAGCAAACAGGAUUAGAUACCCUGGUAGUCCACGCUGUAAACGAUGGAUGCUCGGUGUCGCACCUCUUUUGGUGCGUU